rnacentral:lncRNA from 1 species
CACAGCAGGCCGAGCACAGCAGGCUGCCGAGCACAGCAGGCUGCCGAGCACAGAAGGCCGAGCACAGAAGACCGAGACCAGAGAGCCGAGACCAGAAGGCCGAGACCAGAGAGCGCCGACCAGAAAGGCAACCCCGCCGAGCCCAUGCCUUAGCCAAAUAUCCAAUCUCCGCCUAACCCUCCAAAGGAUCUGACAACUAAAUAUAUGACUCCACUUCAAUCUGCCACCAUCCCCAAGUCAUUAAGGCACAAGAUCUCCGCAUGCAUUCGGCACACCCUAUCAUUAAUGCAUGAGACCCCCUCAGGCCUCCAAUGCACUCAGUCAUUAAAUGAACACGGCUCAAGAUGAUCUCCGGAUCAUUGAACCAUCAAAGCGUACGGCUCUUUCUGACCACCGGUUCA